rnacentral:rRNA from 1 species
AUGAUGGCCGAGGGGCCCUCGAUCUCGAUGUUCCCGGAGCUUAUGGUGUGCGACCCCUUGCACCGGCGGUACAUCCUGCUUCCCCCAGUGCCUGAAGAUCUGGUGGCAUCGGUGGAGAGCCAAGACGACGAAUUUUUAGGGUGGUCUUGCGAGCCUAGCCUCAUUCCACUCAGCGAUGAGGAGGCUGCCCUUGCGGAAGAGACAUCGUUCAGAGUGAUCUGGUCGGCAUGUUUCAAAACCAAUAUGGUCGUGUUUGUCUUCUCUUCCAGCACUGGGCAAUGGCAAGCCGCUGCAUGGACAUGGAGCCUUUGUAUUUUAUCAGGCGCCAUUUGGUGGGUGACUGCGUCUACUGGGUCUUGCCGAUGA